UACUUAUUAUAUUUGUAGCUAUCGACCUCUCUUUCUCCUCUCUGCUCCCUUCUCUCUUCUCCCUCGUCAGUCCAUCACUUGCAUCUGCUUCUCUCCUCCUUGUACUCAAUUGAAACCAUCAUCCAAUGAAUCAAUCCUUCAAAUUGUUAAGCCUCAGCGCCUUGUCUUAGUUCUCAGUGGAUCUACCAAUUUUGUAUGAGUUUAUGCUUCUAAUCGAAGAUCCCCAAUUAUUUCAUUCAAAACCCUAAUCUCUCCCAAUCUCCCUUCAUCAGCAAUGGCCGCCGAAUUUACAGAGUCAAGAUCGAGAGAGAGAGAGAGAGCAAUAGCAAUGGGUAAAGAGGAAGAAAAGGAGAUCGAGACGUAAUAGGUAAGAGACAUGACUGCGAGACUAGUGUGCCGCUGCCGAUAUAAGUCAGACUUUGAUUGCCUCUCACCUCCUCUCUCAACAUAAGGAGAAACGCACCACAAUUUUUGUACAUGGCCGCUAUGAAAACCCAACAAUAGUGGUUCUUGAGGAGAAGUUCAGGUGGUGGCCAUUGUGACAAAAACAUAUUGCUAUAGGAAUGCUCGAUAUUUACUGCGACCAUCCUUCCCAAAAUGGGGAUCAAGGUAUGGUUUACUGCUAUUACUUUUAGAAUGAUGAGUCAUCCUGAAUUUUUAGUAAUAAGAUAGUUUCUGUUACUUUUCAAUUUGAUGCUAAUGCUUUUGUUAGUGAUUAUACUUGUCACCCUCAUAUAGUCCUUUAUAUGAAUUGAUUAAAAAGAAAUGGAUCAAUGAGUGACAAAUUACUGACAGUUUCAUUUCCUUGUGUUGUGUUGUUCUGCACAUUGCAAGUAUUUAAUAGGCUACGCUCUUGGCAUUGUAGUCAAGAUUGAUGACUAGCAUUCGGGCUUUGAAAAGGUUCGUCAUUUAUGAACUGAUGCAUAAUGAAUCUCUGGAAACUCAAUUACACGAACAGAUGCUGCACUUAAUUUUUUGGUAGCUGUUGGUAAUUUUAAAUGCUCGUAAAGAUUUUUUAAAAGGUCGAGGAAGCUACUCGAUCAUCAUGCAAGUUCACAGUUGAAAAUUUCAGAGAAGAUUUUGUGAAGUUUGAAUUAGGUGCAGUGUUUUGUAUAGACAUUAGAUUGUUGUAUGUACUCUUAAGGUAUUAAACCUCACUGGGGUUGACAGCUUGUAAUAGGUACGAUUGAACAAUGUAAUUUUUCCCUUAAUAUGAGGUAUGAAGAAAGUAUAAAUUCCAGAAGCUGAAUUUUAUAUCA